rnacentral:rRNA from 1 species
GACGAACGCUGGCGGCGUGCCUAAUACAUGCAAGUAGAACGCACAGUUUAUACCGUAGCUUGCUACACCAUAGACUGUGAGUUGCGAACGGGUGAGUAACGCGUAGGUAACCUGCCUGGUAGCGGGGGAUAACUAUUGGAAACGAUAGCUAAUACCGCAUAAUAUUUAUUAUUGCAUGAUAAUUAAUUGAAAGGUGCAAUUGCACCACUACCAGAUGGACCUGCGUUGUAUUAGCUAGUAGGUGAGGUAACGGCUCACCUAGGCGACGAUACAUAGCCGACCUGAGAGGGUGAUCGGCCACACUGGGACUGAGACACGGCCCAGACUCCUACGGGAGGCAGCAGUAGGGAAUCUUCGGCAAUGGACGAAAGUCUGACCGAGCAACGCCGCGUGAGUGAAGAAGGUUUUCGGAUCGUAAAGCUCUGUUGUAAGAGAAGAACGGGUGUGAGAGUGGAAAGUUCACACUGUGACGGUAUCUUACCAGAAAGGGACGGCUAACUACGUG